rnacentral:rRNA from 1 species
UAAGUUAAUAAGGGCGCACGGUGGAUGCCUUGGCACUAGGAGCCGACGAAGGACGUGACAAACGACGAUAUGCCUUGGGUAGCUGUAAGUAAGCGAUGAUCCAGGGAUUUCCGAAUGGGGGAACCCAACAGGUAAUACCUGUUACCUACAUCUGUUAAGGAUGUGAGGAGGAAGACGCAGUGAACUGAAACAUCUAAGUAGCUGCAGGAAGAGAAAGCAAAAGCGAUUGCCUUAGUAGCGGCGAGCGAAACGGCAGAAGGGCAAACCGAAGAGUUUACUCUUCGGGGUUGUAGGACUGCAAUGUGGACUCAAAGAUUAUAGAAGAAUGAUUUGGGAAGAUCAGCCAAAGAGAGUAAUAGCCUCGUAUUUAAAAUAGUCUUUGUACUUAGCAGUAUCCUGAGUACGGCGGGACACGUGAAAUCCCGUCGGAAUCUGGGAGGACCAUCUCCCAACCCUAAAUACUCCCUAGUGACCGAUAGUGAACCAGUACCGUGAGGGAAAGGUGAAAAGCACCCCGGGAGGGGAGUGAAAUAGAACCUGAAACCGUGUGCCUACAACAAGUUCGAGCCCGUUAAUGGGUGAGAGCGUGCCUUUUGUAGAAUGAACCGGCGAGUUACGUUAUGAUGCGAGGUUAAGUUGAAGAGACGGAGCCGUAGGGAAACCGAGUCUGAAUAGGGCGCCUUAGUAUCAUGACGUAGACCCGAAACCAUGUGACCUACCCAUGAGCAGGUUGAAGGUGCGGUAAGACGCACUGGAGGACCGAACCAGGGCACGUUGAAAAGUGCUUGGAUGACUUGUGGGUAGCGGAGAAAUUCCAAACGAACUUGGAGAUAGCUGGUUCUCUCCGAAAUAGCUUUAGGGCUAGCGUCGACAUUAGAGAUUCUUGGAGGUAGAGCACUGUUUGGGUGAGGGGUCCAUCCCCGGAUUACCAAUCUCAGAUAAACUCCGAAUGCCAAUGAAUUAUGGUCGGCAGUCAGACUGCGAGUGCUAAGAUCCGUAGUCGAAAGGGAAACAGCCCAGACCACCAGCUAAGGUCCCAAAAUAAUUGUUAAGUGGAAAAGGAUGUGGGGUUGCACAGACAACUAGGAUGUUAGCUUAGAAGCAGCUAUUCAUUCAAAGAGUGCGUAACAGCUCACUAGUCGAGUGACCCUGCGCCGAAAAUGUACCGGGGCUAAAACAAUUUACCGAAGCUGUGGAUACCUUUAUAGGUAUGGUAGGAGAGCGUUCUAUGUGUGAUGAAGGUAUACCGUGAGGAGUGCUGGAACGCAUAGAAGUGAGAAUGCCGGUAUGAGUAGCGAAAGACAGGUGAGAAUCCUGUCCACCGUAAGACUAAGGUUUCCAGGGGAAGGCUCGUCCGCCCUGGGUUAGUCGGGACCUAAGGAGAGACCGAAAGGUGUAUCCGAUGGACAACAGGUUGAUAUUCCUGUACUAGAGUAUGUAGUGAUGGAGGGACGCAGUAGGCUAACUAAAGCAGACGAUUGGAAGAGUCUGUCUAAGCAGUGAGGUGUGAAUUGAGUCAAAUGCUUAAUUCUAUAACAUUGAGCUGUGAUGGGGAGCGAAGUUUAGUAGCGAAGUUAGUGACGUCACACUGCCAAGAAAAGCUUCUAGCGUUUAAACAUACUCUACCCGUACCGCAAACCGACACAGGUAGUCGAGGCGAGUAGCCUCAGGUGAGCGAGAGAACUCUCGUUAAGGAACUCGGCAAAAUGACCCCGUAACUUCGGGAGAAGGGGUGCUGACUUUAAGUCAGCCGCAGUGAAUAGGCCCAAGCAACUGUUUAUCAAAAACACAGCUCUCUGCUAAAUCGUAAGAUGAUGUAUAGGGGGUGACGCCUGCCCGGUGCUGGAAGGUUAAGAGGAGUGCUUAGCGUAAGCGAAGGUAUGAAUUGAAGCCCCAGUAAACGGCGGCCGUAACUAUAACGGUCCUAAGGUAGCGAAAUUCCUUGUCGGGUAAGUUCCGACCCGCACGAAAGGCGUAAUGAUUUGGGCACUGUCUCAACGAGAGACUCGGUGAAAUUUUAGUACCUGUGAAGAUGCAGGUUACCCGCGACAGGACGGAAAGACCCCAUGGAGCUUUACUGCAGUUUGAUAUUGAGUGUCUGUACCACAUGUACAGGAUAGGUAGGAGUCUAAGUAGAUCGGGACGCCAGUUUCGAAGGAGACGCUGUUGGGAUACUACCCUUGUGUUAUGGCCACUCUAACCCAGAUAGGUGAUCCCUAUCGGAGACAGUGUCUGACGGGCAGUUUGACUGGGGCGGUCGCCUCCUAAAAGGUAACGGAGGCGCCCAAAGGUUCCCUCAGAAUGGUUGGAAAUCAUUCGCAGAGUGUAAAGGUAUAAGGGAGCUUGACUGCGAGAGCUACAACUCGAGCAGGGACGAAAGUCGGGCUUAGUGAUCCGGUGGUUCCGUAUGGGAGGGCCAUCGCUCAACGGAUAAAAGCUACCCUGGGGAUAACAGGCUUAUCUCCCCCAAGAGUUCACAUCGACGGGGAGGUUUGGCACCUCGAUGUCGGCUCGUCGCAUCCUGGGGCUGUAGUCGGUCCCAAGGGUUGGGCUGUUCGCCCAUUAAAGCGGCACGCGAGCUGGGUUCAGAACGUCGUGAGACAGUUCGGUCCCUAUCCGUCGCGGGCGUAGGAAAUUUGAGAGGAUCUGCUCCUAGUACGAGAGGACCAGAGUGGACUUACCGCUGGUGUACCAGUUGUCUUGCCAAAGGCAUCGCUGGGUAGCUAUGUAGGGAAGGGAUAAACGCUGAAAGCAUCUAAGUGUGAAACCCACCUCAAGAUGAGAUUUCCCAUGAUUAUAUAUCAGUAAGAGCCCUGAGAGAUGAUCAGGUAGAUAGGUUAGAAGUGGAAGUGUGGCGACACAUGUAGCGGACUAAUACUAAUAGCUCGAGGACUUAUCCA